UGGACCGGAAAAGGAGUCUUUCACCCGUGGUUCCACUGGGGCUCGAACCCAGGACCUUCUGCGUGUAAAGCAGACGUGAUAACCACUACACUAUGGAACCUCCCCGAGAGAAACUUGGUAUCAUUAGCUUAUUCAUAGCCUCACAUCUGAACCGGCGCCUCUGCUCAAACCCCGCCCCUCGGCCGUAGCUCCUCCUCCGCCGUGGCUCCGCCCCACCUGCAAGAUAGGGUGUUCGCGGCCAAGUCCCCAGCUCUGGCUGUGGCGUUUUCGCUGCUCGGGCAACCUGCCCGCCUCGUUCGUCAGCACUGUGACCAGAGCGAGGCCAGGGCUGGGGUGACCCUCCUGAGGGCCGCCCCCCUAAUCACCCGUCCAAAGUUUUUUGUCAGUCGCGAGGUCAGCGGGACCUGCCCAGAGGGCAGGCGGAAGCGGACCGUGCCGCGGCCAUGACGGCUCUUAGCCGCUUCCCUCAGCUGGGGAGGGACCCGCGCUUUCCCCCGGUUUAUCCCUGGGCGCCCUGCGCCGCUGCCGGCGGCACGUGGGGGCCUUGAGUCCGGAGCAGGACGGACAGGAGCGCCUCUUGGAGCCAAAGAUGGAGGCAGCGCCGGGUUUGGGUGUGGGCUGGGCCUCGCCGUCACGUCGGCAUUUCCGUUGCCAGGGUUGGAAGAGUCCGCUGGUUAGUGGGCCCCUUGCCCGCGGGUGUAGGCUCCUAAUGGUCCCCCGACAUUUUCACAGCGUUCCUCCUCUCCCGACCCCCCGCCCACGGGAGCUGGAAGUUGCAGGACUUUUGUUGGCCACUAUUUGGGCUGGGGUUGGGCUGGGAGGGGCGGUGUAGACGGUUUACAGCCCUUCCCGGACUGGGGAUGAUGAAGCGGGACCCGCCACGAGAUUUGAGCGGCCCAGUGCAAAAGGAAAAUGCCAGGUUCCUUGUUCAUGAGUUACUAAGGGUCCCCAAACGGUGGUAAGCAGAGCAUUAGACCCAGAGCCGACCCCUGCGACUGCGCAGGUUGUGGCCGGUGAACCUGUCGCGAUGCUUCCGAGACUUCCGGCCCCGCGCCAGGUGCUGGAAACCUCCAUUACAAAGGGCUCCGGUGUGCUCCGGCUUCUUAGUUUUCAGGCUUCUUAGUUUUCAUUGUCACUGCCGUUUCCCCUCCCCAGUGCUUUUGGAUGGAUCUUCGUCACCGUCCUAGGGUUGCUCACCACCCUCAAGCUUAAAAACCCAGCCAAGACACUUUGACGGGCAUCUUUAAGGGCUGAGUUGAAGGAUGGGGCUGUCCUUUCCCCUGGCGUCUUCCUCUGAAGCUGGCAAAGUGAUGGAGACAUGGUACUGAUUGUCUGAAAGCAACCCCGGGAGUCCCGACCUCCUGGGAAGAUCUGUGGAAGAAACAGGGAACGCUUCGCUCAUCUCCCAGCUUUGUGUCUGCCCUUGCUCCAAAGGAUGGGUUCUCCGAGUGCAAGUUUUGGCCAAGUUCCCACACAUGCUCCAUGUAGAAAAGAAGCUGAUGCACCUCUCAUGCGUGCUACGUAGGUUUCUGCCUUUAGUGGAAAAUUCUUGUGCCUUUUUUCCAUUCUGACAAGGAGUAAGACCUUUGUUCCACUUCCCUGCUGCCCUCAGAGUGUAGUCACAUUCUGUUAGUGAAGCACAAGAUUGUUUACAAAGCACUUUCACAUACACUCCUAUGAGGAAGCCAUGAUAAGUAUUACUGUCUUCAUUUUUCAGCUGAGAAAGUUAAAGCUGAUGAAUCUGAAUGCCUUCCCUGAGACCAUUCUGCUUAUACUCAGUCUUCUGAUGCCGAAGUGAUUUUGGGAGGCCCAUGUCCGCAAAGGCCACGUGUGGUUCCUGUAAGAGCGCCCCUGAGUUCUUGUAAUGAUUCAUAUGCACUCAGGGAGGAAACGGAUAACUCUAUUCUUUCCUUUUGUGAUUUUAUUUUUUUAAAGAUUUAUUUAUUUAUUUGAGAGAGAGGGAGAGAGAAUUUUGAGCAGACUCCCUGCAGAGCAUGGAACCUGAAGCAGGGCUCAAUCCCAUGACCCUGUGAAGGGGUCUUGGGCUCGAUCCCAAGACCCUGAGAUCAUGACAUGAGCUGACGCCAAGAGUCAGACCCUCAACCGACUGAGCCACCCAGGGCCCCCUCCCUUGUACUUUUAAGAUCAAGUCCUCAAAAGCAGGAAACAAAAGCCUGCCCAGAAACAACCGUUGGUGACUUUGAUCUUGGAACCAUCAGUGUCAUGGCUAGCCUUUCUUUCAGAUGGCCACAGUUUUGCCUGGUGCUUCAGGCAGUUCAGUUGGAUGUGUGAGGCCUGCCCCCCCCCCCCAAGGUAUGCCUGUAAGCAUCUGAACAACUGUAAGUCAAAUCCAUCAACAGACUAGUAAAUAAGGACUAGAAGUCACUUCAAAGUUUUAAUCCCCUGAUUCCUCAGUUGCUUGGUGUAGCUUCCUCAGCGGAUGGCUUUACUGACGGGGAGCAACUUAGCCAGAGAAACCAUGGUCUCAAACACCGAGCUGACUUACCUGAUUUCAUUUAGAAAGGGUUAUACUCUUUCACUAUCGUGCUCCAGUAUUUACUAAGAAAAUAAGUCAUUACCUUAUUAUGUGAGCUCACCUUAAUCUUCUCCCUUUUGCAGCUCAUCAAGUUCGAAACAUUUGAAAUUAGCCUAUUGGAAUGGGUAUUUGAUAUUUGUUGCUCUUUGCCCCCGUGCCUUUUCAUAGUCCUCUGUAUCCCUCUGUUUUCUUAGCCGGCUCAACUUCUAUGGUCAUUUUUAUCACUUGUUUGCCCUUUUGUUGUACUUGUUGGCAAACCACAGUCUGUAAGGUCCUGCUCUCUCCGUACUCUGCCCUUGUAUAUGGCCCCAAGAGGAACACAUAUCCGGGUCAACCGAUUUCACACUAAAUUCUUGACUACUGACCUCAAGCGAACCCUUAAUGUAGCCUAGAAUCCAGUCUACUUCUUUGUGCAUUCAUUCUCCUCUUCUCCUAAAGGACAAUUUUGUAUCUUCUCUCCGUGAACUUCCUGUACAUCCCUCCCCAGUCUCACUUACAGGUGAUGAACCUGCUGCUUUUUUCAGUAAAGAGAGAGAAGCAAUGAGAAGAGGACUGCCACAAGUCCCCACCACUUCUGCCCAGCCACCGGUAUCUGUGCGAUCAGAGCUCUAGGUCAGGCCUCUCCCUGUAGAUCACAGUAGAUCAGGGCUUCUCAACAGCUGUUUUGACAUUUGGGACUGAGUAACUCUUGGUCAUGGGGGUCGUUCUGUGCAUGGAGGGACGCCUCACAGCGUCCCUGGCCUCUACCCACUUGAUGCCCCCGGCAUUCCUCCCCCCAGUUGUUGGCACCCAAAAUGUCCCCUGGCAGGGGGAGGUCUUGGGGGCCUUUUGGUAACAUUUGCAGAUACUUUUGGUUGUCCCAGCGUGGGUGCAAGGGUUGGUGUGCUAUUGGUGUCUGGGGGUAGAGACCAGGGAUGUGGUGAGAUCCUGCAGGGCACACGACAGGCCGCCGUGGCAAAGCUCUCCCAGUCCUGAAUGUUCCUAGUGCUGUGGUUGAGAAUGCACUGUCCACAUUUCUAUCAAAAUCCAGCCCGCCACCUCUUGUCUACUCCAGGAAAUCACUCCAGCAAGUCCCCUCUCUCCUACAUGAUUAGUUACCUUCUCUGUCAUCGCCUUCUGAUAAACUUACAAACAUGCUGCAGUUUCUCUCAGCGUUAAAAGGAACCCCUGAUCCCCUUUUGGCCUCUAGAUAGUUCAAUUUUUUUAAAGACUUUAUUUAUUUACUUAUUUAUUUGACAGAGAGAGAGAGAGAGAGAGCACAAGCAUGCAGAGAGGCAGGCAGAGGCAGAGAGAGAAGCAGGCCGCCUGCUGAGCAAGGAGCUCAAUGCCGGACUCGAUCCCGGGACCCUGGGAUCAUGACCUGAGCUGAAGGCAGCGUCCCAACCGACAGUCACCCAGGUGACCCUAGUUCAGUUUUUUUGCUGUUUUAUUUUUGUUGUUGUUGUUGUGUUUUUGUUUGCUCUCCUUUGCAACAGAACUCGUAGGAAGAUGUGUCUGUAGGCUCUCUCUCCCAUUCCUCUCCUUUUGGAAGUGCUUUUCCCUUGUGGCUUUUAGGAUACUGCCCUCUCCCGAUUUUUGUUUCCUGCCUUAUAAGUCGCCCCUUCUCGGUCACCUUUGCACUUGGACUUCUUCUAUCUUCAUUCCCACCGCCUGGAUGACCUCAUUCAUUUGUUUUACUUAUUUAUUUAUUUUAGUUUUUUUUUUGUUGUUGUUUAUUUAUUUGGCAAACAGAUCACAAGUAGGCAGAGAGAGAAAGGGGGAAGUAGGCUCCCCGCUGAGCGGAGAGCCUGAUGCGGGGCUCGAUCCCAGGACCCUGAGAUCACAACCUGAGCCGAAGGCAGAGGCUUAACCCAUUGAGCCACCCACAGCUAGAGUGAAAGCUAAGGCCACACAGUAGCUGGCAAGAUGCUGUAUGAUGUGUUCUCUCCCACGUCCAUUACCUGUUGGACUAUAUAACCUAUUACUUUGCCUUUUCUUUUACUCUGUACUCCGGCCACACUUGCCUGCUUGCUGUUCUUCAAACAUGCUGGGCCUCUUCUGCCUCAGGGCCUUUGAACCUGCUGUUCUUGAAUGCUCUUUCCCUAUGCCGUCCCAUUGCUUGCUCUCUGACCUCGCUCAGGUAUUUGCCUAAAUAUCUUGUCAGCAAGCGGUCUCCUGACGGCCCUAUUUACAGUGACUCUCCCCCUGCUCCAGCCUUCUUCACACCGGAAAUGCAGUAUCCCCCUCUCCUGCAUUAUUUUUCUUUGCAACACUUACUACCAUCUCAUUUGCCAGAUAGUUACUUCCUCGUUUUGUUGCUUAUCCCCGGCCACCCUCAACUACAAUGAAAGCAUCAGGAAGGCGUGGAUUAGGUUCUGUUCACUGUUGUGUUCCACAGAGCCUAAGCAGGGCCCCGUACAUAGUAAGGGUCCAGUGAUCCAUUCUUGAAUGAAUGUGUUCAGGGUUGGGGACGAUCGAGUGGAGUCAGUUACUCCCAAUCACAGCUAAUCCUGGGGCUUUUACCUGAACUCUGAGAAGAGACAUUUCCUUGUUCCUCGAUCCUUGACUUGACUGUGAGAUCACCCAGAGGCUGGAGGUUCUGCUGCCGUCUCUGGACUGUUGUAAUGUGUCAGACCAGCGUCUUCGUUGUUCAUAGCACUCGCUGCUCUUCCCCCUAAGGGAUUUUUAAACCAUUUCCCCCACCAUAGACUUGACUGAAUGACUUGCUUUGGCCAGUUGAAUGUUGGCAGAAGUGAUGUGUAUCACUUUCAAGCCAAACUGCGAAGAACCAGCUUGGGAUUUGCCACUUCAUUGUUUCCCUUUACUAUGGGGACAGCAACGCACAGAGAGAGGUUCGCCUGAGUCUUAGAAAAAAGACCCCGGUUGACGGAACUGCAGCCACCAGCCAUGGUGAAAAGUCAAACCUUGAUCGUUGUAAGCCACGAAGAUUUGGGUUCAUCUGUUACUGAAGCCUAACAUCACCUCAGUGGAUUCAACACUUCUGCUAGUUCCACGAGAAAAUGAGUUUAUUAAAGGCUACUUGGUGGUACACAGCAUCUCCCAAAAGGCCCCGGAGAGGCCAGAGCCAGCAAAAAUGUCUUCAUCUUACCUCAUCGCGGGGCUGCACCAACUAAGAUGCCCACUGCUCCCGCUCUGAGUACAGAGGCAGCAACUCAAGCCAGUGAUGGGGCCCCGCAUCCCUGAAAACUGGACCCUCUGGCACUGACGUUGUCACAAGAUGGAUUUCAUCACCCCUUGACUCCUCGAGCUGCCUUCUUAACUGAGGUCUCUGCUGGAGCCCAAGUUACAUCCUGUGCUCUUGCCUGGAGAGAGGUUGGAGAAGCGAAUGUCUUGUUUCUCCUUCGAGGAGGUGGGAGUCAGCGUGGGGAACGGAGAAGUGAGCCAAUGAUCAGAAAGCAUGAAGACAUCGGCUGCCUGCCUGAAGCCUAAGAAAGGAGCGAGGGGUUAGAGCUGAGAACGAGAACGACUGGAUGCCCUCCCGUAAGGCCUCCAACAAGCCAUGCCCUACAUCUACCUGUGGACUCCUCAGUCAUUGGAAGAAGGCAUUCUUGGUUUUGCUCAGGCCGGUUGCAAUUGGGCUCACUGACAUUUGCGAUAAGAGGAGUCCUGACGGUUCAUCGAAAAUGGGUGGGCAGCAGCACAGUGGCUUGCAGUGGGGGUCCUAUCCCAGAUACUCGAAGUUUUGGUUGCCCUUCUGUUCCCAGUAAACGGGGAGACGGCCCAUUCCGGCAGGGCAGGCUUUGGGUUUCAAGGUGUUUGGGGAGCCAGCCCGCAGUGCUCAAACCCAGUGGGGUGCUUGUUCACAGGGAGCACGGUAGCUAGGGCAGGUAGAGGUCGAGAGUGGGCAACACAUCUGGGGUGCCUUUGGUUGCUUGCCCCCAAUUCAUCUUCCUCCUUUUCCUCAAUAAUAAAGAUCACAAUAAACAU